rnacentral:rRNA from 1 species
UACAGAGGUCUCAAGCGUUUGUUCGGAUUCAUUGGGCGUAAAGGGUGCGUAGGCGGCGCGGUAAGUCGGGUGUGAAAUCUCGGAGCUUAACUCCGAAACUGCAUUCGAUACUGCCGUGCUUGAGGACUGGAGAGGAGACUGGAAUUUACGGUGUAGCGGUGAAAUGCGUAGAUAAUCGUAAGGAAGACCAGUGGCGAAGGCGGGUCUCUGGACAGUUCCUGACGCUGAGGCACGAAGGCCAGGGGAGCAAACGGG